rnacentral:rRNA from 1 species
GUGGGGAAUUUUGGACAAUGGGCGCAAGCCUGAUCCAGCCAUUCCGCGUGCAGGAUGAAGGCCUUCGGGUUGUAAACUGCUUUUGUACGGAACGAAAAGCCUCUGGUUAAUACCCGGGGGUCAUGACGGUACCGUAAGAAUAAGCACCGGCUAACUACGUGCCAGCAGCCGCGGUAAUACGUAGGGUGCGAGCGUUAAUCGGAAUUACUGGGCGUAAAGCGUGCGCAGGCGGUGAUGUAAGACAGUUGUGAAAUCCCCGGGCUCAACCUGGGAACUGCAUCUGUGACUGCAUUGCUGGAGUGCGGCAGAGGGGGAUGGAAGUCCGCGUGUAGCAGUGAAAUGCGUAGAUAUGCGGAGGAACACCGAUGGCGAAGGCAAUCCCCUGGGCCUGCACUGACGCUCAUGCACGAAAGCGUGGGGAGCAAACAGGAUUAGAUACCCCGGUAGUCC